GGGUUGUGAGGUUAAGCGACCAAGCGUACACGGUGGAUGCCCUGGCAGUCAGAGGCGAUGAAGGACGUGCUAAUCUGCGAAAAGCGCCGGUAAGGUGAUAUGAACCGUUAUAACCGGCGAUGUCCGAAUGGGGAAACCCAGUGUGACUCGUCACACUAUCAUUAACUGAAUCCAUAGGUUAAUGAGGCGAACCGGGGGAACUGAAACAUCUAAGUACCCCGAGGAAAAGAAAUCAACCGAGAUUCCCCCAGUAGCGGCGAGCGAACGGGGAGGAGCCCAGAGCCUGAAUCAGCAUGUGUGUUAGUGGAAGCGUCUGGAAAGGCGCGCGAUACAGGGUGACAGCCCCGUACACAAAAGCGCACAUGCUGUGAGCUCGAUGAGUAGGGCGGGACACGUGGUAUCCUGUCUGAAUAUGGGGGGACCAUCCUCCAAGGCUAAAUACUCCUGACUGACCGAUAGUGAACCAGUACCGUGAGGGAAAGGCGAAAAGAACCCCGGCGAGGGGAGUGAAACAGAACCUGAAACCGUGUACGUACAAGCAGUGGGAGCCUCUCUUUAUGGGGGGUGACUGCGUACCUUUUGUAUAAUGGGUCAGCGACUUAUAUUCUGUAGCAAGGUUAACCGCAUAGGGGAGCCGAAGGGAAACCGAGUCUUAACCGGGCGUUAAGUUGCAGGGUAUAGACCCGAAACCCGGUGAUCUAGCCAUGGGCAGGUUGAAGGUUGGGUAACACUAACUGGAGGACCGAACCGACUAAUGUUGAAAAAUUAGCGGAUGACCUGUGGCUGGGGGUGAAAGGCCAAUCAAACCGGGAGAUAGCUGGUUCUCCCCGAAAGCUAUUUAGGUAGCGCCUCGUGAACUCAUCUCCGGGGGUAGAGCACUGUUUCGGCUAGGGGGCCAUCCCGGCUUACCAACCCGAUGCAAACUGCGAAUACCGGAGAAUGUUAUCACGGGAGACACACGGCGGGUGCUAACGUCCGUCGUGAAGAGGGAAACAACCCAGACCGCCAGCUAAGGUCCCAAAGUCAUGGUUAAGUGGGAAACGAUGUGGGAAGGCCCAGACAGCCAGGAUGUUGGCUUAGAAGCAGCCAUCAUUUAAAGAAAGCGUAAUAGCUCACUGGUCGAGUCGGCCUGCGCGGAAGAUGUAACGGGGCUAAACCAUGCACCGAAGCUGCGGCAGCGACACUUUAGUGUUGUUGGGUAGGGGAGCGUUCUGUAAGCCGUUGAAGGUGUCCUGUGAGGGGUGCUGGAGGUAUCAGAAGUGCGAAUGCUGACAUAAGUAACGAUAAAGCGGGUGAAAAGCCCGCUCGCCGGAAGACCAAGGGUUCCUGUCCAACGUUAAUCGGGGCAGGGUGAGUCGACCCCUAAGGCGAGGCCGAAAGGCGUAGUCGAUGGGAAACGGGUUAAUAUUCCCGUACUUGGUGUUACUGCGAAGGGGGGACGGAGAAGGCUAUGUUGGCCGGGCGACGGUAGUCCCGGUUUAAGCGUGUAGGCUGGUUUUCCAGGCAAAUCCGGAAAAUCAAGGCUGAGGCGUGAUGACGAGGCACCACGGUGCUGAAGCAACAAAUGCCCUGCUUCCAGGAAAAGCCUCUAAGCAUCAGGUAACAUCAAAUCGUACCCCAAACCGACACAGGUGGUCAGGUAGAGAAUACCAAGGCGCUUGAGAGAACUCGGGUGAAGGAACUAGGCAAAAUGGUGCCGUAACUUCGGGAGAAGGCACGCUGACACGUAGGUGAAGUGAUUUACUCAUGGAGCUGAAGUCAGUCGAAGAUACCAGCUGGCUGCAACUGUUUAUUAAAAACACAGCACUGUGCAAACACGAAAGUGGACGUAUACGGUGUGACGCCUGCCCGGUGCCGGAAGGUUAAUUGAUGGGGUCAGCGCAAGCGAAGCUCCUGAUCGAAGCCCCGGUAAACGGCGGCCGUAACUAUAACGGUCCUAAGGUAGCGAAAUUCCUUGUCGGGUAAGUUCCGACCUGCACGAAUGGCGUAAUGAUGGCCAGGCUGUCUCCACCCGAGACUCAGUGAAAUUGAACUCGCUGUGAAGAUGCAGUGUACCCGCGGCAAGACGGAAAGACCCCGUGAACCUUUACUAUAGCUUGACACUGAACAUUGAGCCUUGAUGUGUAGGAUAGGUGGGAGGCUUUGAAGCGUGGACGCCAGUCUGCGUGGAGCCGACCUUGAAAUACCACCCUUUAAUGUUUGAUGUUCUAACGUGGACCCGUAAUCCGGGUUGCGGACAGUGUCUGGUGGGUAGUUUGACUGGGGCGGUCUCCUCCUAAAGAGUAACGGAGGAGCACGAAGGUUGGCUAAUCCUGGUCGGACAUCAGGAGGUUAGUGCAAUGGCAUAAGCCAGCUUGACUGCGAGCGUGACGGCGCGAGCAGGUGCGAAAGCAGGUCAUAGUGAUCCGGUGGUUCUGAAUGGAAGGGCCAUCGCUCAACGGAUAAAAGGUACUCCGGGGAUAACAGGCUGAUACCGCCCAAGAGUUCAUAUCGACGGCGGUGUUUGGCACCUCGAUGUCGGCUCAUCACAUCCUGGGGCUGAAGUAGGUCCCAAGGGUAUGGCUGUUCGCCAUUUAAAGUGGUACGCGAGCUGGGUUUAGAACGUCGUGAGACAGUUCGGUCCCUAUCUGCCGUGGGCGCUGGAAGACUGAGGGGGGCUGCUCCUAGUACGAGAGGACCGGAGUGGACGCAUCACUGGUGUUCGGGUUGUCAUGCCAAUGGCACUGCCCGGUAGCUAAAUGCGGAAAAGAUAAGUGCUGAAAGCAUCUAAGCACGAAACUUGCCCCGAGAUGAGUCUUCCCUGAGACUUUGAGUCUCCUGAAGGAACGUUAAAGACGAUGACGUUGAUAGGCCGGGUGUGUAAGCGCAGCGAUGCGUUGAGCUAACCGGUACUAAUGAACCGUGAGGCUUAACCUUACAACGCCGAAGCUGUU
rnacentral:rRNA from 1 species